rnacentral:lncRNA from 1 species
CCCACCUGUCGGAGGCCGCAAAGCUAUUCAGCCACCCGUAUCCCUAUGCCUAUGCCCUGGCCAGUUGCAACAUUAACUCAGGCAUGGGUAUCCCUUUUUCAAGGACUCGGGGCAACAGCUGCCGGCUGCAGGAAAAUAUCCAGCGAGUGCGCCGUCAGGCGUAAACUUGACAGGUACUCCAGGAGGUAGCAGGAAAAGUUCUACCCUAAACAGUC